CCUACGGGAGGCAGCAGUGGGGAAUAUUGCACAAUGGGGGAAACCCUGAUGCAGCGACGCCGCGUGAGUGAAGAAGUAUUUCGGUACGUAAAGCUCUAUCAGCAGGGAAGAAAAUGACGGUACCUGACUAAGAAGCCCCGGCUAACUACGUGCCAGCAGCCGCGGUAAUACGUAGGGGGCAAGCGUUAUCCGGAUUUACUGGGUGUAAAGGGAGCGUAGACGGCAGCGCAAGUCUGGAGUGAAAUCCCAUGGCUUAACCAUGGAACUGCUUUGGAAACUGUGCAGCUAGAGUGCAGGAGAGGUAAGCGGAAUUCCUAGUGUAGCGGUGAAAUGCGUAGAUAUUAGGAGGAACACCAGUGGUGAAGGCGGCUUACUGGACUGUAACUGACGUUGAGGCUCGAAAGCGUGGGGAGCAAACAGGAUUAGAUACCCCGGUAGUC
rnacentral:rRNA from 1 species